rnacentral:rRNA from 1 species
AUUGAACGCUGGCGGCAGGCCUAACACAUGCAAGUCGAGCGGCAGCGGGAAAGUAGCUUGCUACUUUUGCCGGCGAGCGGCGGACGGGUGAGUAAUGCCUGGGGAUCUGCCCAGUCGAGGGGGAUAGCUACUGGAAACGGUAGCUAAUACCGCAUACGCCCUACGGGGGAAAGCAGGGGACCUUCGGGCCUUGCGCGAUUGGAUGAACCCAGGUGGGAUUAGCUAGUUGGUGAGGUAAUGGCUCACCAAGGCGACGAUCCCUAGCUGGUCUGAGAGGAUGAUCAGCCACACUGGAACUGAGACACGGUCCAGACUCCUACGGGAGGCAGCAGUGGGGAAUAUUGCACAAUGGGGGAAACCCUGAUGCAGCCAUGCCGCGUGUGUGAAGAAGGUCUUCGGGUUGUAAAGCACUUUCAGCGAGGAGGAAAGGUUGGUAGCUAAUAACUGCCAGCUGUGACGUUACUCGCAGAAGAAGCACCGGCUAACUCCGUGCCAGCCGCCGCCGUAAGAC